rnacentral:rRNA from 1 species
UACAGAGGGUGCGAGCGUUGUCCGGAAUCACUGGGCGUAAAGGGCGCGUAGGUGGUGGCUUAAGCGUGCGGUGAAAGCUCGGAGCUCAACUCCGAGUCGGCCGUGCGAACUGGGCUCACUGGAGCAUAGUAGAGGCAGGUGGAAUUCCGGGUGUAGCGGUGGAAUGCGUAGAGAUCCGGAGGAACCCCAGAGGCGAAGGCGACGCCCUGGCUCGUACCUGACGCUCAGCCACGAAAGCAUGGGGAGCGAACGGG